rnacentral:lncRNA from 1 species
CUAGAAGCUCUCCCUUUUAGCUUCUGCAAUACACACUCACGGGGAAAGAUUCGCUCAAAUAUACAAGCACAUACCAGUGGCUGCAAGAUGUUGGCCAGUGCACUCUUUUCUGAUAUCAUCCUAGGUUCCUGAGUUAGAAGCACCAUGGUUAUGAACUGCUUGAAAUCUUCUGUUGAUAAUUAAAAAUAAGGAAGCAUGCUAUCAGCUGUCAGCUUAUUGGUAGUUAGCAGCAGCAUGAUAAAUGGGCUGUGCAAGGAACCACUUGUCCCCCGAGAGCGUCCAGUGUCACGAAUAUUUCUAUUCCGCGCAAUACAAGCAAUUUAACACCAACCCCCCCUCUAUUACUCGUAGUUGCAUUAUUGGCAUGAUGCUAAAUUGACAAUACAAAUUUUUCGAUAAGGAUAAAGUGCAUAAUGUUUCAAAUUUUCGCUCCAUUACUUGUAUUUACAUAUUGUUUCGUAAAGGGAAAUUCAUCGUGACUAAAUUGCAUCAUAGGCACAGUGACUAGCAAGGUAAGGUCUAUGACAAACCCCUGACAUCCUUGAUCUGCAAGCCUGCAAUGCAUACUUUUAGUUGAGAAUGCAUGCUCACCAUAACAGAAAUACAGUAUUCAUACUUUUAGCUGAGAACAGGGGCGGAACCAGGAUGAACACCUGGGGGGGCUAAAUAGUAAAGAUUAAGAGCUAGGACUAGAAAUUAAUUGUGAUUUGAGACUUUAUCUACAGUAUUUUACAGGUAAAACAAGGCUCUCGGGGGGGUGCAGCCCCCUAGCCCUCCCCUUGGAUCCGCCCCUGGUUGAGAACAAGGGUUUUGCUAAGGUACUCCCAAAUGACUGUGGACCGUUGAUCUAAUAACAUAUUACCUCAUAGGAAGUAAUAUUAUAUCUAUUUUUUGAAUCUGAAAAUAGGAAAAGUAUUUUUCUAUUAGAUCUAACUUCCACGAUUGUACUAUAUCAUAUCUAAGUUUCUUUUUUGCCUCCCACGUGAACAUGGAUGGCGGUUCUGGUUCAAAAAACAAGAGAGAGAAGAACAUGACACCUUUAUGUGACAUGGAUCCGUUCGAAAAAAAUGUGACAUAAGUCAAGUAAAUGUGUUGCACGGAGAAAUGUGUCAUGGCCAUCUCUUUUUUUCCCCAUGCGGAUGCAGAUGUUUCGUUUCAAAGAAGAAAUGCAGAUGCAGAUGUUUCGUUUCAAAGAAGAAAUGCAGAUGCAGAUGUUAAAUUGCAUGUCAUAUGGAGAUGUUCAAGUAAACAUGAAGAUGUUCAAGUAUUUUUUUUUCUCCAUCCAGAUGCGGCCGUGUGUUCUGUUAAAAUGUUAUGACUUCGGUUGCAACUAAAAGAAAAGAAAUUGCAUGUUCACAUGCAGAUGUUGGACCUGUUCCUCCGAUCCUAAAUUGAAGGAAGCCGUGAUAAUGGGGAGCCGGUUGUUUCUUUUUUUUGUUGCUUUUUUAAUAUUUAAGGGCCUCAUUAGGUAAUCGGUGCACUGUAGCAUUGCCCUGAGAACAAACCUUUUUUCUGUAAGCUACUGCAGAUCCUACUGAUUUACUGGUGUUUAUCUUUCAGUAAUUAUUCUAGUGAUGCAGUUUCAAUAUUUUUAGUUGAGAGCAAACCCCUUGUUUGACCUAAGGCAGAUCCUAUUGAUUUACUGAUGUUUUUCCAGUAACCAUCUAGUAAGAAAAAAUGGAUGCUGUGAUGGUCCUAUUGCUACUAAUUGUCUAGCUAAUAAAAUAUGAUAAUGUGAAUGCUCCAACUCCAACAGUGCAAAAUUUUAUUGAGAACUGACAUGCCAAAUAUAAACAAAAAUUCUCUGAAGGACCACAAUAUUCAUGGAACAGCUCCCUUAUUGCAUCACGCACGGCAGAUACAUACUUCUCUGCAUCAGUACCAAAAGCUCGCUUUAGACGGAACUCAACAAAAGUAAUUUUGAAUCUCGGAUCAAGAACAACAGGUAUUGACAGCCACAAGUAUGAACUUUGCCAAUACUCAUUGAACGCUUCUUGCAUCACCCAAACCAUGUUAGCAAGUUCAGUGUGAUCAGAGGAUGCUUCUUCUUGCAAAGUUGUUCUAACUUUCCAUAGUUCAUUGAAGUAUAUAUUUGCUGUGGGGCAAACAGGACCAGAAAUUACUUCAACAGCACGAUAAAAACCCCUCAGUAUCCUGCAAACAGAUUCCACAGUUUUACUAUCUUCUGCAGAUAACAAUUCUUCUGAGGGGAAUGCCUUCUUGAAAUGCAGAAAAACUUCAAGCCUGAAGUAAAUUUUAUGCCACCAUUUCGCAUCCUCCUGUGGGCACUUCAAUCCAAUAUGUGUAACAACUUCUAAAAGUUGCUGCCGAGUCAGCGAUGAGGACAUUUGUACCUGAAUAAAUUUCUCUAGUAUGUCACCGACAUGGUGAAGCACUGGUUGCCCUUUUGAAACAAUGCUGUUAAGCACAUCAUCCACACAAGCAACAUUGUACAGUUCACCUCUAAUAGGAAGGCAUUUUCUUUGGAUGAGCAAGUCCAUCAGCUUUGAGGUACCCUCAUCCCUUCUAAUUGCAUUGACAGAUGUCAAGCUGAAAUGCUUCUGAUCAAGAUUCCAAUCUCUUAAAGCUUCCUGUAUGACAUUAAAUGGACCACUAUCAGAAUCCAGUACGCAGGCCUCCUUAAAAUGUAUCAUCCUUUCUAAACUAGUAGGUGAGGACCAAAACACACCAAAUUUGAUGAUUUUCCUUAAGUUUACAUUCAGAAUCAAUAAAAUGCACUGCCAGACAGAGAUACUUCACUGAGGCCUCAGCUCCAUGAGGAGCCCACACACUUGCUGAUAAGGAAACCCGAUGGGAUAAAAGAGCAAUCUUUUUCCUUUAGAUCAGUCUUUUCUUUCUGAAAUAAAAGAGUUGAAUACUCUUCUAUAUCAAUGCUCGAAGCCAUGUUAAAUGCAGGGUUCAGGCUCUUUGCAAACCUUUUCAUUUCUUCAUGUUCCACAAUUGACAAGGGAUAGCCAUGUUCCACAAUUGACAAGAGAUAGCCUGAUCAUCAUGUUGCUCGAUGUCGGCGCAGGCAUCAACUUCGGCGACUGCGACGGAUUAUCUGGCCCAACAUGAUCGCCGCCGGCGUCAGGACGGCCGACGACCCAGCAGCACCCAUCGGCCCCGCGCUCGCAGGGUUCGCCGGUGCACGUGCGUUCAUGCGGCGCAACCUCGCCGUCGUGGGGCUCGUCAUGGUAUCCUCUGCUUUCACAGCGGUUGACAGGCCCGGCGUUCUCCUUCAUGAUAUUUGUCCUGCUGGUGUUCGGAGUCUCUGUGAUCAACAUCGGAGUCCAUGGUGCCUUAUGAAAGCAAUUUCAAGCUAUCCUAAAAUAAGUAGACAUUUGUAUAAACUAGAAUAACCAUAUAACUGGUGCGUAUUUCAAACAGCUCAUCCUUUGGAUUUAUUCAAAUCAUCAGCCUAGCGAAAAAAAAGUCUAGGCCAUCAAACAGACGAGCCUGCUUACAUUCUCGGACCAGUAGCUUUUGAAGAAGCUCUGAGUAAGAAACUGAGCAAUAACAACGACGACAGUGGAACAGAAUUUCCAGAGCCCGCCUAUCCUAGACUUAGAGAAAACCGGCCAUUGCCAUGGAGACGCCGGCGAACAUGACGACGGCCAGUCCGAAAGCCACCACCGGGGUGACGGCGCCAACGGCGACGGCAUGGACAGCUGAGGAUGCGGCCACGAUCCCCAGCAUAGAUGAGAGGCUGCCACGACCGCGACGGUGCUCGUUUCCCCGCCCGUCGUCUUCACCGGACGCCUUCUUGGCUCCCGGUGAAGCCAGCAAUCAGACUUCACCGCCUUGGCACCUCUUGAGUCGUCUGGUGAACCAGUUGAAAGAUGAUAGAUGGUAGGAUAUCCAAGAGAGUUCAACUGUGCUGACAACACUACUAUCCGAAGUUCCCAACAGCAUGGAAUCAACAGUACCAUCCGCAAAUGUGCUGACAACAGUACUGACAACUAUCCAAGAGAGUCAUGCCGGUGGAACAACGAGGAACCAAAAUCAGUUAAGAGUCCUGCCGCACGGCAGCCACCCGGUGGAAGCUGUUCAGUUCUCUCAUGCUACAUGACAAAUUAUUUGUCCAAAACGUCAUCUUAUUCUGAACAGAGAUAGCAUGUAGCAGAUUCUUAGUUGAUUAGCAUUUCCUAGGACAAGAAUAAUUUUAGGAAACUUGCAAACAGAUACUCAAAACAUCACGCUUUCAUCAAACUAUGCACGUGAUUGCAUUUUAUCCAAUGCUGACACAUAGUUUUUUUUUUUGAAGAAACAGGAGGGGAGGGUCCCUACUGGUUAUACGAGAGCGAAGCAAAAGGGAAAACAGAAAAGAAAACAUACUACAAGGUGUGCAGCCUGUCAUUAUUUGUCUUACAUCAUCUCUCAGAAGAGACAGUAUGGCAUUACAUGGCCAGAGGAAAGAAGGACACUUGAACUAUAGUAGCGCACAUUCAUUAUUUGAGCCCACACGGCAUGAGAAUGACAGCAAGCAGGAGGCAGCAGCAGCAACAGAUACUCAAUGCAUCUGGGAGAGGCCAAGAAUCCCAACGCUGAUCAGGGAGAGGCCGAGGAGGAGCAGAGCAAACAUGCCGAAGCAGAGCACCUGGCCUGCUUCGCCGGAGACCGCCGUGACGGCGCAGGAAGCCAUCACGAGCCCCACGACGGCGAGGUUGCGACCAAGGAACUCUGCGAGAGCACGCGCCUCGGCCAACACCGCCGGGACGACGGGCGCCAGGAUGCCGACGGCGACGAUGUUGGCGCCGGCGAGAACCCCCGCGAAGCAGAGCAGCAAGCCGAAUCCGCCGGCGCCGGAGUUGAAUCCGGCGCUGACGGAGAACAGCAAGAUGGCGAGGCCGGCGAACAUCGCCGUGGUGCCCGGAGUGGUCAUCGUCGGCCGCGUGGCACCGCAGUCCCCUGCUUAAUUGGAGAGGGCCGUCGAGCGAGCAGGCGAGGCACCGCCGCACCGGGGAGGGAAGCGUUGCCGAAGAGGCAAAGAAUGCAGCGGGAGGAGGAGGAGGAUGAGCUGGGCGGUGCGCAGCGGACGGGGAGAGCCGGAGGAGCGAGAUGGUUGGGGUAGGGGAGGCCGGGGAGGGCAUUUAUACCGGGGAAGGGGAGAGGUAGCCGGGCUGGGACGAGGCCUAAAGGUGGCAACGGACAUUAGUUUUAUACCGAGAGGUGGCCGGGCCGCCGGCCCGCCGGGUGCAAAGUCUGAUAAAUGAUGCGUGGGGUCCGCCGUGGUGUCGACAACCCUCACCUGCCGCCUGGGCGUAGGAAGUGUUAAGGAAGUAAGCAAUUACUAGCCAUACACUAUUAAGAUAUAACAUAUUUUUCAAAGAGUAUAAAUAAUUAUAUAAUUUUCUAGAUUUCAAGUGUUCAACAAAUAGGCUCAAACAAUACAUAGAAUAUUGAAGGUAGAAAAGUACUAAAUUAAGAGUCUUUCAUGAAAAAAAAAGAACUAUACAUGUCUUCAUGAAUUAACACCACUUCCACUUGUUCCGACGACCUCAAUUCCACAUAAAAAUUUUCAACAUCUCAGCCCUAUAACAUUAUGUAUUGAAAUAGACUAACACAACACAAGUAAACAACACAACAACACGCACCAUGUUAAUACUAAUUACUACCGGGAUAUUUGAUUCUUAUUUAUAGUGACGAUUAUAUGUCUCUGAAGGAUAUUUGAGAUUUUUUUGUUUAUAUAAGUUUUUUUAAUACUGCCAUGUUGGGGUUGAUUACUGUUCCAAUUUGAUACAAAUUUAUUUUCUGGGAACUUGUCGGAAUAUGUUCCUAAUUUAUUGAUAGGCUUUUGGUUUAGACGGACAAAUUGCAGCUCUCGUUUCUUAAACCUUGAAAGCGCUUUUGAAUGCGGCUGGAGAUUCCCACCGUCGUGUCGUGUCGUGUCGGCAACCGAUGAGAUUGGAUUCAUAUCAUAUUGUUGCGGCCGCACUGCUUCGGAGGAAGUUGAAGAAUUGGAGAAGAAGGUAACGGACACUGGCCGGGCCGCCGUGGUGUCCAGUGGAUGUUUGGGAGGAGAGGGGUAGAGGACUAUGUAUAUCAUAUUGUUAUUGAUGCCACACUUCGUGGGAAACUCUGGGCAUCCCACAUGCGUUCUCUGAAACUCUGAAUAAAAUAUGAUUAAACCAUCCGGCGGCGCGCGCUGCCGUCGUGUCGUCGCCUGCAGCUCACUGGCGUCAAGGACAGCGCGUGGGCCCAGCUCACUGUUGACGCGCGAUGUUGCAGCUCGAGUGAACAUCGCAGUAUCGGCAUUCCACUCAGUUCAGGUCGAUGGACUGGCUGGUGGGGUCAGGUCGCGAGGACCCCGACCCAGUUCAUGAUCUGGGCUGAAACGGGCUGUUUACGUGCUACCGGCCACUUACUGGGCCUUCGGCGCAUUAGAAAUUGGGUUGUGUUUCCCCACGAACUGGGUCCGAAUAGCGGCACAACAUGGAUUCGGGCCCAGCUGGAUGUCGCUUUCCUCUCGCCUGGAAACCUCGAAUGGACACAUUUCCUAGCUGGCGCCAUUCACAAAAUGCAAUAUGAGUGCCUUAAAAUUCAAGUUGAGAUUUUGCAGUACGCCACGAUAACAUAGACAGAAUAUCAAAUGACUUCUCAGGUUAAAGCAGCAGCACAUCAUUCGCACUGUACAAAUAAUCUGCACCAGAAGCCUAACAAAAUCCUAGGCAACAAUGCAUAAUACAUGUCAACACCUAGAAGCUCUCCUUUUUAGCUUCUGCAAUACACACUCCCGGGGAAAGAUUCGCUCAAAUAUACAAGCACAUACCAGUGGCUGCAAGAUGUUGGCCAGUGCACUCUUUUCUGAUAUCAUCCUAGGUUCCUGAGUUAGAAGCACCAUGGUUAUGAACUGCUUGUAAUCUUCUGUUGAUAAUUAAAAAAAAAGGAAGCAUGCUAUCAGCUGUCAGCUUAUUGGUAGUUAGCAGCAGCAUGAUAAAUGGGCUGUGCAAGGAACCACUUGCCCCCAGAGAGCGUCCAGUGUCACGAAUAUUUCUAUUCCACGCAAUACAAGCAAUUUAAU